UCCUAGAAAGACCACAAUUUUGCUCCAAUGUUUGACCGUCCAUCUUAUUUAAAAAAAAUUAUGAUUAGUAUUUUAUUGCUAUUAGAUGGUAAAAUAUGAAUAAUACUUUAUGUGUGACUACUUUUUUUAUUUUUGCAUAAAGUUUUGAAAUAAGACGGACGGUCAAAUGUUGAACACGGAAAUCCAUAACUGCACUAAAA
rnacentral:pre_miRNA from 1 species